rnacentral:rRNA from 1 species
GGACGAACGCUGGCGGCGUGCUUAACACAUGCAAGUCGGACGGUUCGCACUGGAAGGUUCGCUGGAAGGUGCGGAUAGUGGCGGACGGGUGAGUAACGCGUGAGGACAUGUCUGCAGGAGGGGGAUAACGUUUGGAAACGGACGCUAAGACCCCGUAUGCCGGAGGGUGAAAGUGGCGCAAGCCAGCCUGUGGAGUGACUCGCGUCCUAUCAGCUAGUUGGCGGGGUGAAGGCCCACCAAGGCGAUGACGGGUAGCCGACCUGAGAGGGUGGCCGGCCACACUGGAACUGAGAUACGGUCCAGACUCCUACGGGAGGCAGCAGUGGGGAAUAUUGGGCAAUGGGCGGAAGCCUGACCCAGCGACGCCGCGUGGGGGAAGAAGUCUUUCGGGAUGUAAACCCUUGUUGUACGGGACGAAGGAAGUGACGGUACCGUACGAGGAAGCCCCGGCAAACUACGUGCCAGCAGCCGCGGUAACACGUAGGGGGCAAGCGUUGUCCGGAUUUAUUGGGCGUAAAGAGCUCGUAGGUGGCUAAGUAAGUCGGGUGUCAAAUCCCCAGGCCCAACCUGGGUCUCCACCCGAUACUGCUUUGGCUAGAGUCCGGUAGGGGAGCGUGGAAUUCCUGGUGUAGCGGUGAAAUGCGCAGAUAUCAGGAGGAACACCAGCGGCGAAGGCGGCGCUCUGGGCCGGUACUGACACUGAGGAGCGAAAGCGUGGGUAGCAAACAGGAUUAGAUACCCUGGUAGUCCACGCCGUAAACGUUGGGCACUAGGUGUGGGGUCUAUUCAACGGACUCCGUGCCGUCGCUAACGCAUUAAGUGCCCCGCCUGGGGAGUACGGCCGCAAGGCUAAAACUCAAAGGAAUUGACGGGGGCCCGCACAAGCAGCGGAGCAUGUUGCUUAAUUCGAGGCAACGCGAAGAACCUUACCUGGGUUUGACAUGUAGAGAAAAGCCACAGAGAUGUGGUGUCCUUCGGGGUUCUACACAGGUGGUGCAUGGUUGUCGUCAGCUCGUGUCGUGAGAUGUUGGGUUAAGUCCCGCAACGAGCGCAACCCUUGUCCUAUGUUGCCAGCACGUAAUGGUGGGGACUCGUAGGAGACUGCCGGGGUCAACUCGGAGGAAGGUGGGGAUGACGUCAAAUCAUCAUGCCCCUUAUAUCCAGGGCUGCAAACAUGCUACAAUGGCCGGUACAAAGGGCUGCUAAACCGCGAGGUGGAGCGAAUCCCAUAAAGCCGGUCUCAGUUCGGAUUGGAGUCUGCAACUCGACUCCAUGAAGCUGGAGUUGCUAGUAAUCCCGGAUCAGCAACGCCGGGGUGAAUACGUUCCCGGGCCU